rnacentral:RNase_P_RNA from 2 species
GCAGUUUGCCGGUCUGUCGCUCAUCGUCAGAUGGGAGGAAAGUCCGGGCAACGUAGAGCACCAUACUUCUUAACGGGAAGCUGUUCGUGAGGGCAGAGUAGCGUAACAGAGAAUAACCGCCCUGUUUACAGGGUAAGGGUGAAAAGGUGAGGUAAGAGCUCACCGGGUCUUAUAGUAAUAUAGGAUGCCGUACGUCUUAUGGGUUGUAAGGUCAUGUAUACCGGCGCAUGUAGGGUUGCUCGCCCGAUGCCGGGGGGUAGACCGCUAAAGCAUACCGGUGACGGUAUGACAAGAUAAAUGGCAGACGCCCUCCCCUAUGGGAGGGUACAGAACCCGGCUUACAGGCAAACUGCAUUU